CAACGACACAAUUACCUGGUAACUUUCAAACAGAACUCGCGUAAAUGUCAUAAGAGUGUCGCAAAUUGCCAGAAAGUCCCAGAGCGUGUUCGUCUUUCCUGGACCGGACUGUUUCUGCAUAGUCACUCUUUCUCGUACUUCUUCAGUGUUGCACAAGAGCAGCUGCUUCGGUUGAGUGUUGUUUCUUUUAGUAUUAGAGCAGCGCAAGGUACAAUACAAAUUGGAGUCAUGAAUGGAAUUUCCAAGAUAAAUAAAGUUAUGAGUUAUGCAUUUAUCAAUUGGGUUUUGCACACUUAUAGUUAGACUAUAUAGGGCAAGUUUUGAAAUCAGUUCACCGAUUGUGAAGGAGCGCAUACAAAUUGUUCACUGCUGUGUGCUAAUAUAAAUGAGAUGAUAAGACCAUUUUUAAUACCGGUUAUAAAAGUUUUAUUAUAAGUGUUUCAAAGACUUAAAAUAAACAGUUGGUAAAGCACUGAAUUUUUUAAAGGGCUAAAGAUUAGAACUGGUUAACAAAAACAAGACUUGUUAAAUAACACGAAAUAAUAUUGAACUGAAGCCGGGGCUUGUUGGUGAGCUUCUGGGGUUUGCCAGGCGGCUAGGGAGUGACGUGGAAGUAAUUAAAAACCAUCAAAUCCGCGAGCUGCAAACCUGGUGCUGUCAGAAGACAACUGAAACAAACAGUUCAAACAGACACGGCACAUUUUAACUGUUUUUUUUUUUUGUUUUUUUUUUUUAAAUAUCCGGCUAAGUAUGCCUUUUGAACACAAACAUAUAAUUAUACUUGGUUGUAUUUGUUUUAUUUUGCUCUGUAUAGGUAAUUUUGGCCUCAGAAGAUCAAAUACUGAUACAAAACAGAAAAGACAUUACAGUGACCACACUAGGAUUCAUGAACAUGGGAAACUACCUGUUAACAAAAUGAACCUAACUCGUAAAAUGAACCAAAACAAGCCUGCUGAUAGACGAAAGCACAAUCAGGUUGGUCCGACAACAGAUAUGUCUUCAGAUAAACCCUCAGAAAGAAAAAGUGUCCUUUGGAUCCAAUGAGGCUAUGAUAAUGAACUUCAAGACUGAUGAAAUGUGAUUACAUAAUUCCAUGUGAUUGUAUUAUUGCCUUGAUAUAAGACCAAUUUUAAGCAGCAUUGUGGUGUAUUAACCUUUUUUCUGAUGUUUAAAAAUAUUUUUAAAGUUUUGGAGUUUUGGGGUCCAGAAGAUGCCAAUUCACCUGUAUCUGUAUUCUCAUCAUUACUCAUGCCCUGGCAAUGGCCUUUAAUACCCAGAUUAAACCGAGGGAGCCAUCAAAUACAUGAUCACAAGCUUUUUGUUAAUUGCAGGAUAAAUAAUUAGUCUGUUAUCCUUUAAACGUGACCAUAAAUAACAUAUUUUCACCAGUCAGGUACAUAACUACUUGAGUCAUCCAUAGGCCUCUCAAAACAGAAGUAGUUUAUGUAUAUAACGUUUUUCAAAAAUACAUUUUAUGGAUAUCUAGAUCUGUAUCUAUCUCUAUUUAAAAAUGCAAAUUUGUAUCGCUCACUCUGUCCCUUUAAAUUUGGCCAAUGAAGAGCCAGAAGUAACUGUUUCAUGAGGAAACAUCAAUGAUUAUUGUUGGGACUGUUGAAGAUAUUGUGGAAACCAAGUUCAUACAGAUAAAAACAUUUUGCUAUGCUUGGCUUUCAAAAAAGUAAAACACACACACACAAAAAUGAC